GACGAACGCUGGCGGCGUGCUUAACACAUGCAAGUCGAACGGAAAGGCCCUGCUUUUGUGGGGUGCUCGAGUGGCGAACGGGUGAGUAACACGUGAGUAACCUGCCCUUGACUUUGGGAUAACUUAAGGAAACUGGGGCUAAUACCGGAUAGGAGCUCCUGCUGCAUGGAGGGGGUUGGAAAGUUUCGGCGGUUGGGGAUGGACUCGCGGCUUAUCAGCUUGUUGGUGGGGUAGUGGCUUACCAAGGCUUUGACGGGUAGCCGGCCUGAGAGGGUGACCGGCCACAUUGGGACUGAGAUACGGCCCAGACUCCUACGGGAGGCAGCAGUGGGGAAUAUUGCACAAUGGGCGGAAGCCUGAUGCAGCAACGCCGCGUGCGGGAUGACGGCCUUCGGGUUGUAAACCGCUUUCGCCUGUGACGAAGCGUGAGUGACGGUAAUGGGUAAAGAAGCACCGGCUAACUACGUG
rnacentral:rRNA from 1 species